ensembl:snoRNA small nucleolar RNA SNORD37
GCAAAUGAUGAUUUAAUACUUCUUCACUUUGACCUGAUUCACUAGUGAUGAGUACUUUCAAUCUGAGU